GAUGAAGAACGUAGCGAAAUGCGAUAAGUAAUGUGAAUUGCAGAAUUCAGUGAAUCAUCGAAUCUUUGAACGCACCUUGCACCCUUUGGCAUUCCGAAGGGUAUGCUCGUUUGAGUGUCAUUGUACUCUCACACUCUCCGAUCCUAUGGAUUCGGGGAGCGGUGGACUUGGGUGUUGCUGCCUUUCCUUGUGGCUCACCUCAAAUGUGUCAGUGCACCUCUUGGUUGGACAUAGUACGGCGUGAUAAGUGUCUUCGCCGGCACCUCGCAAGAGGGUGGCCGAUCGGGAGCUCUGUGCUUUCAAACCGUCUGCGGACAAUUUCUGACAACUUGACCUCAAAUCGAGUAGGACUACCCGCUGAACUUAAGCAUAUCAAUAAGCGGAGGA
rnacentral:misc_RNA from 1 species